GAGAAGCUGUAGCAACGACUGCUCCAUGUUUUCGGCUUCUGGCGAGGUAAUGUUCCAGCUGAUGGUUGUCUCCCCGUCAGAUAGUUGGCCACCUUGAUUGUCCUCAGCUUCUAAAUCCUUGCUCAAUCCCCCCUCCUCCUCUGCUCUGAUUCGCUUAUCUUGCUUCUUCAGUAUCGCUGGAACAGAGUCCCAGCUCGCUCUAAAGCGAUGCCUCCGCGGCGUCUCCUCCACUUGAGCAUGCUUCGAGUCGAGUAAGUUCACUUGAAUCUCUUCACUGAUCCCUUCCAGCAACCGAUCGCUAGUCUUCCCUUCUAUCCCAACACUAUUCUCUUGUUCCAACGUCGCAGACUCUUGGGUUGACAAGUUGUCUGCUCCAGUGGAAUCUCCCUGCUGCGAGAGCUUCCCAAGAGUCUCC
rnacentral:lncRNA from 1 species